rfam:Human gut metagenome DNA, contig sequence: F2-X_010499.
CUCUUAUCAAGAGAGGUGGAGGGAUAGGGCCCGAUGAAACCCGGCAACCUGUAUUUUCAAGGUGCCAAUUCCUGUAGAUAGAUUAUCUACAAGAUAAGAG